GCCUUUUGUUAUUUGCACUCGCAUUGUGUUGUUUGUCUCUGAAGCCGCCUCAUGACCAGCAAAGGGAUUUCACCUCGUCCUUGAGAGCAACACGGGGAGCGCGAGCGAGCGGGCGAGCGAGAGACGGGGGGAGAGAGAGGGACACGCGCGCGCACACACACACACACCGGCACACACGCACACACACAGACACACACACACAGAGUGAAAAAGGCGAGCCACCAAAACCCAUCUCCAGUCUCCUCCCGGGGGCCCCCAGCCCGCCUCUGUGCCACUUUGCAUCCCACGCCGGAGGAGGCAUUAACGAGACCGGGUGCUGUGCUGGCCAUUGGUGACCCAAAGAUGAUGAAAAAUAUGUUCCUGCCCACAAGGAGUUAGCGACCUACUGGGCUUUCCUCUUGCUGAUGACAUGAUUCCUGUUUGAAUCUGUUGACAAGAUUCUGAAAGCUGAACAGAGAAUUCUGGCACUGCACUGGGUAGGAAAAAGCAUUUCAAGAAAUAGAUAAUAUCAAGGACAUCAGGACACCGGGAGUGGGAGAGAUUGGACUGGGAGACUCAGCAGGUCAGGACAUUUACAUUACCAUUUGCUGG
rnacentral:lncRNA from 10 species